UACAGAGGGGGCAAGCGUUGUUCGGAAUUACUGGGCGUAAAGGGCGCGUAGGCGGCCUGUUAAGUCGAACGUGAAAUCCCCGGGCUCAACCCGGGAACUGCGUCCGAUACUGGCAGGCUUGAAUCCGGGAGAGGGAUGUGGAAUUCCAGGUGUAGCGGUGAAAUGCGUAGAUAUCAGGAGGAACACCGGUGGCGAAGGCGGCUUCCUGGACAGAAACUGACGCUGAGGCGCGAAAGCUAGGGGAGCAAACAGG
rnacentral:rRNA from 1 species